rnacentral:rRNA from 1 species
CACGCAGGCGGCCAGUCAAGUCUGACGUGAAAGCUCCUGGCUUAACUGGGAGAGGUCGUUGGAAACUGAUUGGCUUGAGGCAAUGAGAGGGGUACGGAAUUCCAGGUGUAGUGGUGGAAUGCGUAGAUAUCUGGAGGAACAUCAGUGGCGAAAGCGGUACCCUGGCAUUGUCCUGACGCUCAUGUGCGAAAGCGUGGGGAGCGAACG